AACGAACGCUGGCGGCAGGCUUAACACAUGCAAGUCGAGCGCCCUCUUCGGAGGGAGCGGCGGACGGGUUAGUAACGCGUGGGAACGUGCCUUUCGCUACGGAAUAGCCCAGGGAAACUUGGAUUAAUACCGUAUACGCCCUUUGGGGGAAAGAUUUAUCGGCGAGAGAUCGGCCCGCGUUGGAUUAGGUAGUUGGUGGGGUAAUGGCCUACCAAGCCGACGAUCCAUAGCUGGUUUGAGAGGAUGAUCAGCAACACUGGGACUGAGACACGGCCCAGACUCCUACGGGAGGCAGCAGUGGGGAAUCUUGGACAAUGGGGGCAACCCUGAUCCAGCCAUGCCGCGUGGACGAUGAAGGCCUUAGGGUUGUAAAGUCCUUUCGCUAGGGAAGAUAAUGACGGUACCUAGUAAAGAAGUCCCGGCUAACUCCGUGCCAGCAGCCGCGGUAAUACGGAGGGGACUAGCGUUGUUCGGAAUUACUGGGCGUAAAGCGCACGUAGGCGGAUUGAUCAGUCAGGGGUGAAAUCCCGGGGCUCAACCCCGGAACUGCCUUUGAUACUGUCAAUCUAGAGAUCGAGAGAGGUGAGUGGAAUUCCGAGUGUAGAGGUGAAAUUCGUAGAUAUUCGGAGGAACACCAGUGGCGAAGGCGGCUCACUGGCUCGAUACUGACGCUGAGGUGCGAAAGCGUGGGGAGCAAACAGG
rnacentral:rRNA from 1 species